rnacentral:rRNA from 1 species
CAGCAGCCGCGGGAAUACAGAGGAUGCAAGCGUUAUCCGGAAUGAUUGGGCGUAAAGCGUCUGUAGGUGGCUUUUCAAGUCCGCCGUCAAAUCCCAGGGCUCAACCCUGGACAGGCGGUGGAAACUACCAAGCUGGAGUACGGUAGGGGCAGAGGGAAUUUCCGGUGGAGCGGUGAAAUGCGUUGAUAUGUGUCGGAACACCCAUGGCGAAAGCACCCUUCUGGACGCAAACUGACGCUCAGGUUCGAAAGCCAAGGUAGCGAACAGGAUUAGAUACCCCGUAGUCCCUGUCUCUUAUACC